AGACCCGAAACCCGGUGAUCUAGCCAUGGGCAGGUUGAAGGUUGGGUAACACUAACUGGAGGACCGAACCGACUAAUGUUGAAAAAUUAGCGGAUGACCUGUGGCUGGGGGUGAAAGGCCAAUCAAACCGGGAGAUAGCUGGUUCUCCCCGAAAGCUAUUUAGGUAGCGCCUCGUGAAUUCAUCUCCGGGGGUAGAGCACUGUUUCGGCUAGGGGGCCAUCCCGGCUUACCAACCCGAUGCAAACUGCGAAUACCGGAGAAUGUUAUCACGGGAGACACACGGCGGGUGCUAACGUCCGUCGUGAAGAGGGAAACAACCCAGACCGCCAGCUAAGGUCCCAAAGUCAUGGUUAAGUGGGAAACGAUGUGGGAAGGCCCAGACAGCCAGGAUGUUGGCUUAGAAGCAGCCAUCAUUUAAAGAAAGCGUAAUAGCUCACUGGUCGAGUCGGCCUGCGCGGAAGAUGUAACGGGGCUAAACCAUGCACCGAAGCUGCGGCAGCGACACUCAGGUGUUGUUGGGUAGGGGAGCGUUCUGUAAGCCUGUGAAGGUGUGCUGUGAGGCAUGCUGGAGGUAUCAGAAGUGCGAAUGCUGACAUAAGUAACGAUAAAGCGGGUGAAAAGCCCGCUCGCCGGAAGA
rnacentral:rRNA from 2 species